rnacentral:rRNA from 1 species
UACGUAGGGUGCGAGCGUUGUCCGGAAUUAUUGGGCGUAAAGGGCUCGUAGGCGGUUUGUCGCGUCGGGAGUGAAAACUCAGGGCUUAACCCUGAGCCUGCUUUCGAUACGGGCAGACUAGAGGUAUGCAGGGGAGAACGGAAUUCCUGGUGUAGCGGUGAAAUGCGCAGAUAUCAGGAGGAACACCGGUGGCGAAGGCGGUUCUCUGGGCAUUACCUGACGCUGAGGAGCGAAAGUGUGGGGAGCGAACAGG